rnacentral:rRNA from 1 species
AAGCUCGUAGUUGGAUUUCUGCUAAUUUUUGCAUACAAUACUACGGUAUUUAUGUAAAAUUAGCAUAAUCCGCAUUACCUCGCGUAUGCGGAAUUUUACUUUGAGAAAAUUAGAGUGCUUAAAGCAGGCAAUUGCCUUGAAUACUCCAGCAUGGAAUAAUAUUAAGGAUUUUUAUCCUUUUUAUUGGUUCUAGGAUAAAAAUAAUGAUUAAUAGGGACAGUUGGGGGCAUUUGUAUUUAACAGUCAGAGGUGAAAUUCUUAGAUUUGUUAAAGACAAACUACUGCGAAAGCAUUUGCCAAGGAUGUUUUCA